AUCCAAAACGAUUCCCUUUUCAAGGAGCCUGCUUAUGCCCACCUUCAGAAAAGUAGCAACUUGGAAUAAAAUCUGGAAUGCUUUAGGUUGUUGGAGGAGAGGGGAUGUUUGUUUCCUUUGCCUUCCUUUGGCUACCUACACAU
ensembl:snoRNA